GACAAUCGGGUCUGUGGUUGUAAGCCGAAGCCAGUCGCAGGCAAAGCGGUCCACGUAAGUCGUCCAAAGCGUCGAUGAGCAUGGUGCGGUUUAGAAGUAAGUCCGACCGGGAUUCCCCCGAGAGAGCAGCGUGAGGGCGCAGAAGCGCAGAGCAAAGCUCCUGUCGGCGAGUGUGGGGUCAAAAACCAGGUCAGCCGGUUAUC
rnacentral:ncRNA from 1 species